UAAAAAUUAAUCAGAUAAUGAGGCAGGAAGUGAGUAACUUAGGAAUGAUGUUAACACAAGGAAAAAGAGAGAUAGAUAAAUCAAGAAUCGAAACAGCAGCUGGACCUCCCAUCCCCGCUGAUGCGAAGGGCUUGACUGGCUAUUGGAGACCAUAUUGGUGGUUUUACCACAAAGGCAGCACCAGUGAUGAUGUUACUGAAGACAAAUACCUCAUGGGAAUGGAAGCCAGAACAUACGGGUCUGUAUAGGAUGGAGAGUGGAGAACUGGCUGUGGAAUCUAUGUGGAAGAUGAGCAAGGAAGAGAAGUGGAAAAGUGGCAUUUUGAGUGCGAGCAGCAGCUGAGUUUAAACGAAACCGGAAGGCUACAGCUAAGGUAACCAGCUACCCCAGAAGCUGGAGCACAUGUGACGUUGUAUCCUGUUGAGAACACGUGAUGCUGUCACUGCUAGCCUUUACUCUCUUAAAGGUAUAGUUCACCCACAUCUUCAUAACACAUCCACCCACACACAUACCCACCUGCUCACACUCACUCUGUCUCCCCUGCAAACACGUAUAGUUUCUGGGGUGAAUUUGAACUUGCAGAAUUACAUUUUGAUUUGCUCAAAACACUGCAUAAUUCCAUUAAGGUUCUAUAAAUCCCACUUUAGAAAUAGAAUUAGUCUGAACAUUGGGACACAGACAGACUUUAACCUUACACCUUCAAUG